rnacentral:lncRNA from 1 species
CAAAAUCGUAUUAUUAUUCCACUUUCUUUCAAAAAGAAGUCUGACCUCUAACUGGAAGUUGAAUUCCGGAGAGUUUUUGCAGGUAAGUAGAGUUGGCGACGUCUUUCCAAUUAGGAGCCAAAACGCCAAAAGUCUCAACCAUAUGUUUUUGACCGGUUCUCAAAUAAUAAUCUCCGGUUAAUGCCCAAACCGCCCAAUCUAAAUCAUUCUCCGCGGCCCAAGCCACCAAACAAUUCAUAUACCGGUUUCCGCUAACGUCACCGCUUCUCAGGUUAGCCCCAAACUCAGUCAAGAACAAAGGAAAACCUCUCCCGAUCAAGAAUCCUCCGUUAUGUGUUACUUUCUCGAUGAUUUUUGCGCAUAAAUCGUUAGAGUUGUGCUUUACCCACGAGUCUCGACCAUCGGAGAAGCUGUACCAAUGUUGCUCGAAGACGAGUUUGUCGGUGAAGCUGACGUUGAAGAAGCGGUCACGGAGGAAAGAGAGGUUUGUGUCGUAGUCGAUGCCGGAGAGGAUGACUAGUACUUCAGGGUUUGCUGCGUGUACUGCUUCUCCUCCUUUUGGCAUGUACCUUCACGUAACCGUUUACAGUUUUAAUACGCAUGCAUGCAUUCAUGUACUUGUUAUCCUUAUAUAUGUGAAUAAUGAAAAUACUACAAAAGGUCCAACACACAUUUACCUAAAUCUGUAUGCGAACAUAUGUUAUUUUUGAUAAAUAGUUUUAAAUAGUCAUUUCAAAUAUUUUCAUGUGUUACAUGCUUGGUUAUAUUCUAAAUGAAAUAUUAGUAAUUUGAAAUGCGUACGUACUUGAACCAGAGGUUAGGGUAAUCUCUGGUACCACGUGGUUCGUUCCUAAGGCUCAUGCCAACGACAUUAGUGACAUUGCGGAAAAGAGAAGCCAUCUUGCUCAAUCCCUUGGUCCAGAUGACAGGAUCAAAGUUAGGGUAUUCGAAGAAGGCGUCGAGGUCGUUGUCGCUGCAACACCAUCCUGGCGUUGUCAAGUGGUUGUCUAGUAUCACCAUUACUCCGUUUUGUCCAAGGUUCGAUACCACUUCCUGAUACCAAUAUAAAAGUAAAAUAAACUAUUUAUAUAUAUAGAAAGAGAGUUCCAUUACGUUGGGAUCUAUACUAUACUAAAAUGGAUUGAGGGAGUCUUUUUAAGCUAUCCACCUCAGCCAAUUAAAUCAACUAAUCAUAUGUUAUCAAACUGCCAUGUCAUUUUGUAAAAUCCACAUCAUAUUUCUUUGAAAAAAAUGAAACUUCACGGACGGUUUGCUGCUACUUCUUCCGAUUUUCUAUUAGUAUUAGCUGCCUACACAAACCAGAAAGCCAAGAGUUUCUACCUCUUCAUAUACUUUGCAAUUAAAUUCUCAUCUUCAAUAAACAGGUUGAGUUCCAAAUUAAUAUUAAAGACCUCUAAAUGACUCCUACAGCUUCAUCUUUAAUGUAAACAGGUUUUAGAUUUUAAAGACUUCUAAUUCAUGUAAUAUUACAAAAUUCAAAAUUGGUUUAUUACAAUUAAUAUUUUACCAUUAGAUAUAUUAAUACAAUAUUCUAGAUCGAUAUUCAAUUGUCAGUUUUCAACUAUUACACGUAAAAAAUAUUAUUAAGUACGUUUUUUUUUGAAAAGGGGGUUUUAUAUUUUAAGUAGGUUAUUGGGGUACUUUUUCUUUCUUGAAUUUAUUCGAGAUGAGAUUCCGAUCUUUUAAACUAAGAUAAUUUAUGUUCUAUACAUAAUUAUAUUUUUUUUACAUAACUCUAAAAUCUCGGAUUUGAUUCUUCAUAUUUUAUUAGUUAAUUGUGUUACAUAUAAUAGAAAUACUUACUUCAAACUAAAUAUAUUAAAAAUUAAAUUUAAAAAUUAGUUAUAUAUAAUUUAGUAUACAAAAAUUCACAUACAAAUAAAAAUAUAAAUGUAACAAAUUUAAAUAUAUUAUCCGCGCGUAGCGCGGAGAAAGGAUCUAGUUCCAUUAAAAGUGUUUCAUUUACUUUGGUUUGGUUAAUUUUUGUUAUUGGUUCGAAUUAAUUCUAGCUAGCCAGAGGCGGACCUAGCAAACAUCUAGGUUCGUGCAGCACAAUUGAAAUACGCCGGUUUAUUUUGUAUCAAUUAAACCAAUGCUAUAACCCUAAUAUUUUACCUGGAAUGCAUUGAAUAUGGGAAGGUUAAGGAUUUUGGGAUUGUGAGUUUGAAUGCCAAGAACAUCAUCAAGCAGAUUCAAUCUUUCAAAAGACUGUUUGACGGUAACAUUGCGAGCCAACGUGUCAUUAGUCAUCAAAUCAAGAGGCCAAGUGAGCCUAACGCAGUUAAAUCCCAUUGAGACAAUUUUCUUGGAGAUGGAGUCUAAUGGUUGUUUGCUUAGCCCUUCAGCCACCGCGGGCUGGAGAUGCGCCGGCCAGUUCACGCAGGCUAGCUUCACCCUUUGGCCUUUCUCAUCCACGAUCCAUCUUGAUUUUGUGGAGAGAGGGUAGCUUGUGAUUAGCUUAGGAAUCCAAGAAAUGAAUAAGAAGAAGAAGAGACACAAAGAGAUGGAUCUAGUCAUUUUUGUUGUUGUGUGUUUCUUAGUUUUUGAUUCUGAUUAUCUUGAAUUUGAAUUUGAUUCGCAAUUUAUACAUUGAAGAAGUUGGUUUAGUUUCUGGUUGUUGGCAGAUUUUACGUGUUUAUGGUUAAUGAUUGUUUUUUUCCAACAGAAGAUAAGGAGGAAAAAUCAAUGCAACAAUGGACAGUGCAUGAUGUUAACAGAUAUGAACUGUAUAUUUCUAGAGAUUUUUAAUUACUUUUAGAAAGCUAUAAAGACUUUGGUAUAUUGCAUUAUUAUAGUACUAUAUAACAAUAAAAUUUUGUUUAUGUACUUCUCCUAUAGUAGAUAAAAGAAAAUAACCAUAUGUUUUUGAUCUGGUAGUUUCUAUAAUUGAUUCUUUUGUUCUGUUAUAACAACAAGGUAAAAACAACUUGAAGAUAAUAUGGUUAACAAAAAAAAACUUGAACAUAAUACUAGAGUUAUAUUUGUUGUAUGAGAUUUAUAUCAUGGCUCAUAUGGAGAUCAACCCAAAUUUAUAAAUUUUAGUUUUCUCCCUAUAAUCAUUUCAUUAAUAUUGUUGCAUAUACAUUUUAAAUAACUCGUUAUUAAGAUGCAUAGAUUAAUGAUAAUUAAUACAUUGAUGAAAAAUGUGUACGUUUAAUCCCCAAUGUGGAAAAUCCAGCUACGGUACGUGUCUUCUAUCUUCUUGCUUCUUCUUCCUACCACUGAAGACGAACCAGUCUAAGAACGCACCUAGCGGUGCAAAUAAAGCCGCACCAACUGCUGCACCGAUCUUCCCUAACCGUAUUAUAUCUUCUUCGGGGUCAACACAAGGAUCCAUAGGCUGGCCACAUAAACCCUCGUUACUAGAAAAGUUCUCCCGUCCAAAUUUCAAGUUGAAAUUUGGGACAUGACCGGUUAGUUGAUUGAAUGCCACUGAGAACUUGGUGAGACGCGGAAGUGACACUAGCUCUGGAGGAAGUGGGCCAGUGAAGUUGUUUUUUCUGAAGCAUAAGAGUGUUGACAAAGGUAAUAUUUGAUAGAGAGACAGGGAUUUCACCGGAGAAUUGAUUGUCAGAGAGGUCCAAAGUCGUAAGAGAUGGAACCAAGGAGCCUAUAUUUGACGGUAAAACUCCGGAGAAGUUGUUUCUACUAAGUUCUAGACCCAUCAAAUCAGAACAUUGCUUAAUCCCAACAGGAAACUCUCCUCCGAGACCAAAGCCAGAAAGCCUAAUGCUCAAAACUCUAUUCUCAUCAUCAUGCCAGCAAGUCACACCACUGAACUUGCAGAUAAAACCUGCAGUCUGGUUGUCAAAUACCCAACUCGAUAAAUAAUCGUUUGGAUCUGUAACUCCAGAUUUGAAGUUCCUCAAGCAAUUUACGUCGGCCUCGUUUGCGCCUGCGAAGCUAGACACCAGCAAGAACCAGAAGCAAGUUGAGAAUAGUGUUUGUAUGGACAUUUUUGUGUGAUGGUGGGCUUUACAAUAGAAAAUAAUAACAAGAGAGAGAGGGAGGUUUUAGCAGCAGUGGCAAGUGAAAUGUUUCGGUAGCCAAAACUUGAACAUGCGCAUAAUUUUAAAAAGACUUUCUAAGUCACAGGUCGUCUUUUGUCCCGUAAAAAGAGUUAAGACUUGAGAAUAUUCAACACACAAUGGUUUUCGACUUGCCCCAUGGGUUUGAAUAUUCAUUUAAAUGAUGUCCUUUUCCGGACAUCAGGACCGAAAUAGGUAAUGGUCGGAAAUAUGUAAUUCGGGUAACCAGCGAUGAGUUGGUUAGGUUCUUUUUAGAGGCUACAUGUUCAAAUAUACUGAUGAGAGGAGCUAAUUUACAUGAUAUAUAUUCUUUCGAUAGUGUAUGGAACUACGAAUCAAAAACUUUGUAAUACUAAUCAUGUGAGUAUUUUCGAUAAUUUCAUGAGGUUUGGCAUUCUCACGGACAAAGCUGUCAAUAUUACUUAUUAAGUCUCGUUGACUUAGCAUAAGAAUCUUCCAGCUUUGAAAGUUCUUAGUUUUUAAUCCGUUUUUUUUCAGUCUUGUUGAAAAUGAUUAGUUGAUUACUUGUCUAGAUUGAGAUCUCGUCUGUGCUCGUAUCAAUUCUACUUUUAAUAUUAUGUGAACCCACAUAAGAAAAGCAAUUCAAAAACUCCAAACGCAUCUGUUAAAAAAACCCACGUGUACAUGUGGGUCAUCUAGUCAUCAUGUAAGCAAAUGGAAGUAUUGAGACUAUUCUUAGGAACCAAAGGCCACCCUUUGCACAUAAUCAGGACAUCUUUUUGAAGACAUGCGAAUAAGUCCUACAAUCUGAAGCUCCAUUACAGCUCUGCAAAAUCGAGCUCUGUUUGAAACACAAUGUUAAGGAAGAACGUUUAUGUAAAUUCACUGCAAAAACGAACGAAAAAACAGAAUUAACCGAUAAAAUUCACAAAUCUUUAAAAAUUCUAAUUCUGUUUCAAAGAUAUAUGAAUGAAAGUAACUUUUGUGGAUGAAAUUUUAAAAUGUCAAACUUAUUCUUUAAAACUUACAAAUAAUUUUUAUUUAAAAUAAGCAAAAUUUGAGUAUUAAAAUAUACAAAGUUCGAAAAGUUAACGUUAUAAAAUAAAUAAAAUAUUAAGUUCAUGUUUUAACCUGGAUAGCAAAAAAAAAUUAAGUAUUAAAAAGCUUAACAAACUUUAGUUGAGGUAAUUUUAUGAUUUUUUUUUCCUUUCCUUAACUACAAUUGUCAUUUCUCUAUAUUUGAAAUUGUGAUGAUUAAGCUGCCAUUAGGUAUUUUGACACAACAAUUUCAAUUAUUAAAUUUCGAUUUUUGAACUCAAGAAAUUAUUAUUAUGAACAUGAUCGAUCGUACGUAGUCUUGAUUACAGAUGCAUUUUCUCCGAAAUAAACCAUAUAAAAAAGAAUUUAAAGAACUUUGAACCAUUGGCUUGCUGGAUCACAAGAAGCAUCCAUGGUCAAACACUUGCAAGGGUUAGCAACGAUGCUGUUGUCACGUUCAUCCACAUCAAGACAUAGCAACGAACCGUUACUUGUUGUCUCUUAAACGACAAAUGCAUGUGAGUAGCUGAGGUUUGUCCCAACUUAGAGCACUUAGUGCCAACUCCAAGCUUCACUCAGCAUCUGGAGCCUCGACGCACAGUUUGUUACUCCAGAGAAAACCUUCACUUGGAUUAAAGGUCGACGGCUCGGCUUUACGGCAUUGUUCCAAUCGAAGUGUAGGUGAAUUGUUUGAGAGAUUACUGGUGACGCAAAGUCCUGAUGUUGGGUGGAAGAUAAGUUUUUUGGAUUGUAAACCGGGUCCUGCAUAUAAACAAAGAUUUAUAUAUUUAGCUCAAAAGUACAUAUUCAUAACAUUAUUUGGAUAUUCACGGUUCUUGAUAUUGCACUUACACGAUACUUGUAUCGCAAUUAAAUUUUUCAGAGUCCAGUUAGGGAUUUUUAGAACAAAAUAGCACUAGACGUGGUACGAAAAUGAUAUUAUAAUUAUGGGGGCAUAUGUAUGAACACAAUCUUGGUAGUCCAAAAACAAAUAUUAUCAUAAGUGGUAUAUAAAUUAAGAUCGAAACCUAAACAUUUUAUUUGGAUGUUUCUUAACUUAAGAAAUUAAAAUUAACAUAAUAAUAAAAUUCAGGAUUAUGAAUGUUUUUGGUCAAAUUCAGGAUUAUCUAGGAAAAUUGAGUUAUAACUUUUAAUCUGUCAUUAUAUAUUUAUAGGAUCCAAAUAUCUAUCUAUAUAGGAUUCAAUUCAUUUUUAACGAUUUUGAGUUAUAAUUAUAGUUUUUUUGGUAAUAUUCAAAUAAUAAUUAUAGUUUUCAUUCCAAAAUCGUAUUAUUAUUCCACUUUCUUUCAAAAAGAAGUCUGACCUCUAACUGGAAGUUGAAUUCCGGAGAGUUUUUGCAGGUAAGUAGAGUUGGCGACGUCUUUCCAAUUAGGAGCCAAAACGCCAAAAGUCUCAACCAUAUGUUUUUGACCGGUUCUCAAAUAAUAAUCUCCGGUUAAUGCCCAAACCGCCCAAUCCAAAUC